rnacentral:lncRNA from 1 species
GACUGAAAGAAUAGAUGAGUGCGUUUGAAGGAUCACGCUUCCAUAGAGCAUGUCGUCGAGCCUCUUGGAAUAAGAACAGAUACAAUCAAACAGAGUCACCUUCUCUUCAGUUGUACCAUUCAGUAGUGCCGGUGUUCCAUCUGAAGUGUGACUCUGUGAUGACUUGUGUAUUAGACUUUUCUUGAAACCAACUGUUGGCUUU